rnacentral:rRNA from 1 species
AUCGUGGUGGGAGACAGUGUCAGGCGGGCAGUUUGACUGGGGCGGUCGCCUCCUAAAAGGUAACGGAGGCGCUCAAAGGUUCCCUCAGAAUGGUUGGAAAUCAUUCAUAGAGUGUAAAGGCAUAAGGGAGCUUGACUGCGAGACCUACAAGUCGAGCAGGGUCGAAAGACGGACUUAGUGAUCCGGUGGUUCCGCAUGG